rnacentral:rRNA from 1 species
GACGUAGGGUCCAAGCGUUGUCCGGAUUUACUGGGCGUAAAGAGCGCGUAGGCGGUCUGUUAAGUGUGAAGCUAAAUCUCCGGGCUCAACCCGGAAACUAUUUCGCAUACUGGCAGACUAGAGUGAUGAAGAGGUUUGUGGAAUUCCUGGCGUAGCGGUGAAAUGCGUUGAUAUCAGGAGGAACACCCAUGGCGAAGGCAGCAAACUGGUCAUCAACUGACGCUGAGGCGCGAAAGCGUGGGUAGCAAACAGG